CCCCGCUCGCAGAGGAGAAACUCCCCGCGCAGGGCCGCUGCUCCGGCGGAUCGUAAAGCAGGCUCCCGCUUCCCGCUCGUUGAGACGGUGGUGCAGAUUGGUUGACAGUAGGCAGCCGUCCCGAAGCCUGCGACUUGGCGGCGGUCUGUAAGUUAGGCCCGCCCGCUGCGCGAGUCCGCGCCGAGGGGCCGAGCUAAAGUUGAGCGCUUUCCGCAGACGUCCUGGCGUAAGAUCGUUAACACUCUAACUUGAUGACCUCUGAUUCUAAGGACUUGCAGACGUUGGGUUCCGGGGCCAGCCAUACAGGGUGCAGUGUUGACAGUUGGAGGAAGUCGAGGAUUCCCGUGGACUUGUGUGCUCCAGUUUUGUUGUGGAAAAUUUUUCUGUAAUACUUCUGUUGGUACUGUAAGAAUUUUCCAUUCUCUGUAACGUUUUUCAAAAUAAAACUCUUCAAACCGC